UACGUAGGGUGCGAGCGUUAAUCGGAAUUACUGGGCGUAAAGCGUGCGCAGGCUGUUCUGUAAGUCAGAUGUGAAAUCCCCGAGCUCAACUUGGGAACUGCGUUUGAAACUACAGGACUAGAAUAUGUCAGAGGGGGGUAGAAUUCCACGUGUAGCAGUGAAAUGCGUAGAGAUGUGGAGGAAUACCAAUGGCGAAGGCAGCCCCCUGGGAUAAUAUUGACGCUCAUGCACGAAAGCGUGGGGAGCAUACAGG
rnacentral:rRNA from 1 species